ACCAAGAUGAUUGUUCACUUUCCGUUUCCACUACUGGAACAAAAUAGCUGACACUCACAACUUAAAGGAGGUGAAGUUUAUUUUGGCUCACAGUUUCAGCCCAUACCUGACUGGCUCCAAGACCAAAACAGGAUGGCAAAGGAACAUGGCAGGGAAGAAGUACUCGACCCAAGGCAUCCAGAAAGCAGAGAGAGACAGGAGGAGCCAGGGAUAAGAAUGGACAAGAUCACUUUUACAGCAACAGGAGCUGGGAACAGUACCAAGCCGAGCCUGCUCUUCUGACCUCACGAUUUAGCAUGCACAGUGGAACUUCUGCAUCCCUCAAUGCCUCCAGUGACAAGGGGAAGACAGACUCAAAGGGGAGCCAGAACACCAUUCUACUGCAUCAUCUCGUUGUGCAAGGAUAGUGUAGGCAUAGCUGGCAGAGAGCUGGGCUCAGAACUUUGCUGGCAACGAAUACGUCACGUUGGGAAACAGGCUUACGGAGGAAGACAACGUGGUGUCAGCAGAGGAAGGGGGUGACAUGCUCCCCUCCGGUUGAGCGAGAGCAAGCAGAAUGUCUGGAGAGAGCUCCUCAAGCAGGCGUGAGAUGAAAAGAAGAGCUGAGCAGCUGUGCAAAACACAGCACAAAGAAAGGCAAGAAGAGGAGGGAGGAAGGCAGAGAUUCCCCAGAGACCAGAGAAGCAGGCGAUGUAUAAUGAAUCUAUUGACAUGCGCAACACGUGUAGUGCACCCGUAAGAAUUACGAUAGUCCAACAGGCUGAGUAGUGCAAACCUGAACAAUGCGAACAUUAUUUUUUUUUCAUAAGACUGACUAAACACAGUACCACAAACUGGGUGGCUUUGAACAACUGGAAUUAUCUCCUUUGUGGUUCUGGAGGCAGGAAGACUGAGAUCAAGGAGCUGACAGGGCUGGGUCCCCCUGAAGACUGGAAGGAGAGCUCUACUCUGCCUCCCAGACCGUGGCAGCUGCCGGCCAUGCUUAGCUCUCCUUGGCUUGUAGGUGCUGCACUUCGACCUCUGCUUCUGUCUUCUUGUGAUUUUCUUUCCUCUCAGUGUCUGCGUCCAAAUCUCCUGCUUUUUAUGAGAACAACAGUCACUAGUUUAGGGUCCAUCCUUUCAGAACUUGAUUACUUCUGCAAAGAUGCUUUUUCCAAAUAAGGUCACAUUCACAGGCAUCCAGAGAUCGGAACUUGAACAUGACUUUUCAGGGGACUCAGUUCAACCCACAAUAAGGACUUACAAGAAUUGGAGAGGAAGAGAAAGAGAGAUGGAGACAGUAUAAGAA